GCAAGUAGUCUCAGCUAGGUAGAGCACGAGACUCUUAAUCUCAGGGCCCUGGGUUCAAGCCCGCACCGUGGGCA